rnacentral:rRNA from 1 species
CUGUGACAGCGGAGGGAUCAUUACAGAGUUGCAAGGCUCCCAACCAUUGUGAACGAACCCGUUAUAGCUGUUUCGGCGGGUGGUGCGCUGAAACUGCCCGCCGGCAGCAUGCUAAACUCUAGAUUACAGUGGAUCUCUGAGUAGCUUAUUCAAUAAGUUAAAACUUUCAACAACGGAUCUCUUGGUUCUGGCAUCGAUGAAGAACGCAGCGAAAUGCGAUAAGUAAUGUGAAUUGCAGAAUUCAGUGAAUCAUCGAAUCUUUGAACGCACAUUGCGCCCGCUGGUAUUCCGGCGGGCAUGCCUGUUCGAGCGUCAUUUCAACCCUCAAGCUCUCCGGAGUUUGGUGUUGGGGCGCCUGGGGCUUUUCGACCUCAGGGCCCUCAAGUCCAUCGGCGGGACCGCCAGGACACUGAGCGCAGUAGUAUUAUUUCGCUCGGUAGGAUCUUCCACGGCGGGUCGAUCUGGCCGCUAAACCCCCCAAUUCUCACCAAAGGUUGACCUCGGAUCAGGUAGGAAUACCCGCUGAACUUAAGCAUAUCAAUAAGCGGAGG